rnacentral:lncRNA from 1 species
UGGGAUUUUCUCUGGCUAUACAAAAAAAUCAGUGGUGGGCUCAACUGGCAGCCCAUUAUUCUAAACUCAAUCCACACCCCUUUUAAUAAAUACACCCCUGUUUCUAAUUUUAUUUGUUUUCUUUGAUUUUCUUUUAUUGUUUUGCAUUUUUAUUAGGCAAAUUAGAUUGUUGGUUUAAUUAGGUUAAUAAAUCUUGAUUUUAGGAUUUAAUUAGCAUAUUAGGAUUUAAAUAGAAUUUUUCUUAGAAUUAAUUAGGUUUUUUUCCUUAGAAUUUUAAUUAGGAAUUUUAGUUAGGUUUAAUUAGAAACAAAUAGAUUUGAUUAAAUUUAGAUUCAUCCCAUUUUCAACAUUAGGAUUAGAAUUCAUCUUUAGGAUUUAAUCAACUUUAAACCAUGGUUAGAAUUUGACAUAUUUUCACUAUUGACCAUUUUGCCCUUAUGGGCUUAUUUUGUCAUUUUUGUGUUGAAUUGCAUGUUCCCCUUAGGAUUAGAAUACAAUUAAUUGUAGGACUUAACAUAGAAUUUUAGUCAUGAUUUUAGUCAAUAUUUUGGCAUGCUCCCUUAGGAUUUCUAAUCUAACUUAGAAUAUUCAACCAAUUUCUAAGGCAUGAUCCCUUAGGUUAGUUCUAACAAUUACUAACUUCAAUUAGAUCCAAAAUUAGUUCCCCACAAAAAUAAAACCAAACCCCCGAUUAAAUUGAUAAAAAGCAAUUUUGAUUAAUUAAAUCCUUUGAACUUGUAUAAUCCCCCAGUCUAAUUGAGUUGCCAAAAGACCCUUGGUCACUUAGUAGGACUUUUCUUUCACGCUGUGGAGCUCAAGGCCUUGAGACAAGAUCUUCAUUCAAGGCAUCCUUAGUUAUACCAAGCAGCGGAUUAUUCAAGCACAUCAAAGGUGGCGUCUUCAACUUCAACUUAUUCAAGCACAUCAAAGGUGGCACCUUCAACACUUGUUAACUCAAAGUUAGAAGAAUGUGACGCAAGCCUUAAGCAAUAGAGAAGGAGUGAGACUGGAGUAUUCCUACCCCCAUUCUGAGUAUCUUUGGGUAUGGGACGUAUGACCCAGUGCUCAUCGUAUUCACCUCUAAUCAUAGACUUUAGCACAAUUCUAAUCAUAUGAUUAACAAGUCUAUCUUCACAAAGCAAAAACAACAAAAGCAAGGACAAUGUCAACAACUUAUCAAUCAUGAAUCAAGUUGUACGAUACGAGCCUUAAGUAAUGGAGAAGGAAUGGGACUGGAGUAUUCCUACCCCCAUUCUGAGUAUCUUUGGGUAUGGGACGUAUGACCCAGCGUUCAUCGUAUUCACCUUCAUUCAUAGACUUUAGUUCCAUUUGAAUCGAACCAUUGAUAAAGUCUUCAUCAUCAUUGCAAGAAACAACUACGAAGACUCUUCUCUCUCCACUUGAAAGUUAGUGUGAUUCUCAUCAUCCAGUAACUAUCAAGUCUAUCCAGUCUUUAUUCUAUUCAAUUCUUAAUCAUUCCAUUCAAAUCAUUUCAAUCUCAAUCAUUCAUUUCUUCUUGCCCCCAUUCAAUUUCUUUUCAGCCCUAGUGGGCUGAACUACGAAAGCUCUGAUUUCCUCAUUGCACAAUGAGGGUACGUAGGCAGGAGAACCCGGUUUCUUUGCGAGCUAUCUUAUUUAUCAAUCUAUCUCCUCUAUCCCAUGGAUCACUCUCCAUUAAUGCAACCAAUACAAUCUUUUGAGAUCAAUCAUACUUCUCCUUGGACUCCUUGUCCAUCCUUUUAGGACGUCCUGAGGACAGUCCGUCUCUUCAAUCGAGGUUUGUUUAGCGCUUAUCCCAAACACUAACUUCUCCUUUGUUUGGCGCUUAUCCCAAACACUAACUUCUCCUUUGUUUGGCGUUUAUCCCAAACGCUAACUUCAUCCCUUGUUUGGAGCUUAUCCCAAACGCUAACUUCAUCCUUUGUUUGGCGCUUAUCCCAAACGCUAACUUCAUCCUUUGUUUGGCGCUUAUCCCAAACGCUAACUUCAUCCUUUGUUUUGCGCUUAUCCCAAACACUAACUUCCUCUUUGUUUGGCUCUCAUCCCAAACACUGACUUCAUUCUUUUUCGGCUAACACGCCACUUUGCUCUUCGAUUGAGAGUCUAUCCUUCUCUUGGAUCCAAGAUACUAUCCUGAUUUGAUCUCGAAUUGUCGAUUCCCCAGCAAGUGAUAUAAUACUCUUUGCAUUCCAAUACUGCAAACAUCCCUCUUCCUCUAUUCUCGUAGUUCCGAACUACGAUUGCUCUAACUUUCUCAUUGCACAAUGAGAAUACGUAGACGCGAGGAUGCGAAUCCUUGGCGAGCAUACCAUUAAUUAUUCCUUCUUCCGCCUUAGGGCAUCACUCAUAUUUUUCACAAUUCAUUACCUAUCUUCGAUCAUAAAUCGUUCAUCUAGUGACAUACUAUCUCUUUGACAUCGAAGUACACCUCCUUUGGUAUUCCAUAUACAUCCUUUUAGGACGCCUGAUAUAGUCCGCAUUUCAUGCCUAGAGUUGUUUGGCUCUCAUCCCAAACAUUUAUAUCCUUAUUUUUAGCUAAAACCCUACAGUGGUGGUCCGCUAGUCCACGUAUUGGUUAACAUUGUUUCCCUCUAUGGUAGAAAUCCCAUUUCUCUUAUGGAUUCCAAUACACUUAUACCUUUCGAUUUCAAACAAUACUUAUUCAGUCACUUGUUGCCGAGUUCCUCUAUUCUAUGACUUCGGUCACUUCACUCCGUUCAUUCCACGAUACAUUCGUAUUCUACCUUCCUUCACUCCACGUGAUACACCUUUAUCUUUGAUCCAAAUACAUUAUACCUUUGUGCUUCAUCUUGUACCUCCUUGUGAAUCAAGAGUUGUUUGGCCCUUACCCCAAAUACCUAAUUCCUUUCUUUUUUGGUUAUUCCAAUACAAUGAUACAAGUGAUAUACGCCCUCACUAGUUGGUUCACACAAGUUUUACUCUUGGGUUCACAUUUUCACCCCUUCAUUUGGAGUUCAAACAAUAUUAUCCUUUGGUUUAAGUCAUACCUUCUAUCACACUCCUUUCCACCUCCUGCCUCUAGUUCUUUGAACUACGGAGCUCUGAAUUCCUCAUUGCACUAUGAGGAUACGUAGGCAUGAGGGCCCCAAUCCUCACCGAGCACUCUAUCUAUUUCCCCUUCCUUUCCCCUUAUUCUUUUGCGAGUAAUCUUAGAUCUAACACCUAUUCAAGCGAGAACAAUCAAAAUGGUUCCCAUGGAGUACCAUGGAUGUUUGGGGUGCUAAUACCUUCCCCUUGCAUAACCGACUUUCUUACCCAGUACAUCUCUUUCCCCCGGGUUUUAUCGAUGUUUUCCCUUCCCUCUGGGGAUAAAUAAAGUUCGAUGGUGACUCUGUUGUAUGUUCGAGCGUGCGAUACGUUCGGGUAUAUUUCUGCUAGCUUCAACAUCCUUUAAUUAUUUUCGUCAACCCUUUGAUGACGACAUUCACUAUAUUCCAUCAACCCUUUGAUGAUGCCACUCCAUAGUGAAGUUUCUUUCCGUCAACCCUUUGAAAUUGUCAACCCUUUGACGAUGGCAGUUUCUUUUCGUCAACCCUUUGACGAUGGCAGUUUCUUUUCGCCAACCCUUUGACGAUGACAAAUUCUUUUCCACCAAUCCUUUGGGGAUGACAUCCUUUAAUUAUUUCCAUCAACCCUUUGAUGACGACAUUCACUAUAUUCCAUCAACCCUUUAAUGAUGACAUUCAAUAUAUUCCAUCAACCCUUCGAUGAUGAUAUUCCCUAACAAUCUCAUUGAAAGAAUAAAAACCCUACAAAAGUAUCCAAGUACCCAACUGCAUUUCCACAUGCAUCACAUGCAUCAAUUCAUGCAUAAUUUUCCUGCCUAAACAUGAAUUUCAUCAAACACAGUCAUAUCAAUCACCAGCAUCCCCAUGCAUAGCACUCCCACAAAAUGGGAAUUUCAUCAAAAAAUUAAUAAAAUAAUUCGCAUUCCUACACGUAUAUCCAAGAAUCCCCAGCAAUUGAAUACUACAUACAUAUCAUGCAUCAUUCCAUGCAUGGUACGUCCACCCAUGUUAUACAAAACAUCAAACAUAAAAUAUCAGGAUCUAGGGUCAUUCAUAUGUAUCCCAGACUUUCCUCAUUUAACUCAAUGGAGUUAUUAUCCUGCAUGUGCUUGUGGAAUUAUUUCUCAGUAAGUCAUUUUCAACUUUAUGGUUGAUAGUAAUAUUCCCCAAGCAGAGGUUACCCUAAAAAGUCUCUUAUGAGCUUCUCCCCUGCAGAGCUUUUCCAGCAAAUUUCCUCCAAAGGGAGUCGUUUCUAAAAUAUUUCCCCCAACAGACAAACAUUUGAGAUACUGCUUCAUUUAUCUAAAGAAUCUCAUUUAUCUAUUUGAGAUACUGCUUCAUUCAUCUGAAGAAUCCCAUUUAUCUGUUUGAGAUACUGCUUCAUUUAUCUGAAGAAUCUCAUUUAUCUGUUUGAAAUACUGCUUCAUUUAUCUGAAGAAUCUCAUUUAUCUGUUUGAGAUACUACUUCAUUUAUCUGAAGAAUCACAUUUAUCUGUUUGAGAUACUGCUUCAUUUAUCUGAAGAAUCUCAUUUAUCCGUUUGAGAUACUUUUUUCAUUUAUAUGAAAAAUCUCAUCUAUCUGUUUGAGAUAUUGCUUCAUUUAUUUGGAGAAUCUCAUUUAUUUGUUUGAGAUACUACUUUAUUUAUCUGUUUGAGAUACUGCUUCAUUUAUCCGAAGAAUCUCAUUUGUCUGUUUGAGAUACUGCUUCAUUUGUCUGAAGAAUCCCAUUUAUUUAUUUGAGAUACUACUUCAUUGAUAUGAAGAAUCUCAUUUGUUUUUAGAUACUGCUCUAGUAUCCUCGAAGAAUCUAAUAUACGAUUGAGGUAACAUUCCCUUGUUAUAAUAUCUCGAUUAUAUCAUGUAAGGUGUUGUUUCGUUGAUCCUCAGAGAAUCUCGUAUUUUCAAUUCAAGACACUUCUCUGCUAAUGUUCAGAAAGUCUUAGAUUCAGUCGAGGUAUCAUUCCACUAUUGAAAUAUCUCAAUCAUGGCAUCCAAGAUACUGUUCUGCAUUUCUUCCUUGCAUUUCAAAGGAUAAAAUUCGGGUCUUUUCGUAUUUAAUUAUCUUCCACCAUAAAUGUAUGAAGGCUGCUGUCAUUCAUACUUUCUGGUUCAAGGUAAUUAAAUAGAGGCAUCUGUCAUACCCCAAUUUUGUCUGGGCAUUUUAAAACUUUCAUAAGUUUGAUUUUAUUUUUAGUUUGCAUCAUUUGUAUAGCAUGACAUGCAUUUCAUCAUGAAUAAUACCUAAAAUAUCAGUCGGAAUAAAUUCUCGAAUAUACAGACAAAUUGACUAAAUCAUUCAUCAAGUACGUCCAAAAGUAGCGAGUAAAAAGUUUCGAAAUCAAGCUUGCAAACAUCACUAUUAUUAAUCUACGGUCUGCGUAGUCUAAUAUGGUAUGCUCGUUUUAUUUUUAACGACUUUUUCGAUUGCAUUUUGAUCCGUCUGAGCCUUUUAACCGGUUAAAAUUUAUUUCAAAAUUAAAAGAAACAUUGUAUUUUUUCAAUAAGUAUAUUUCGUGCUGAUCAUUUUAGUGCAUCCGAUUUAAUUUUUUGAAUAAAUUUUCGCUCGACUUUUAUUCAAUUUUAGUCGUUUUAAUUUUGUUCUUUCGCCUAAAUAUUCAGAAAAAAUAAAUAGAAUUUUCCAUGUCCUUAUUUUAUUUUUCUCAUACUCAUUUUAGAAGUUGGAAUUUUUAUUUGAUUCAAUUGAUUUAAAUUGUUUUAAAACGAUUAAAUCAUAUAAAAAGGGUAUUAUAGACAUUUUAAUUUAUUUAAUAAUGUGUGCUUCUUGGUGUGUUUCUUUGAAUUAACCAUGAUCAUUAUAGCAAGAUUAAUCAAUGGUCCUCAUUUGUAAUCCAUGCCCAUUUCUCUUAUCCAACCACAAAAUAGGAGGAAAUAGUAAUAUUAAAAAAAAUAGUAAAGGAAAAUGAAAUCCCCACUAGGAUAUCACACGCGGCCAGCUGGAUGAGGGAUGGAUGAAUUCCGUUAGAAAUUGGGGACAUGUGAUGAAAGUUGGCAAUGCAAAUCCACUCACAAGAAACGACUUUCAGGAAGAAAAAAAACACUACAAGAGACACAUCAUCCUCUCCAACAAAAAAAAAUGAAAAAGAAAAAGAGAGAGACCAUUAAAAAAGGGAGGCUGGGAAUGAAUCUACGGAUCUAUCUCGGCCAAUAGGAAAGGAGUUCUGGGAGAAAAGAAACAAAAGAAUCUUCUUCUUCAUCCACAUUCAACACACCACACCGUCCACCGCACGAACUGCUCCUUCAACUCAUCGCCUUCCAUCACAACGACGAUUCAACAAACUCCGAUCCACCACAAAUUACCCUUUCUCUCUCUAAUGCACAACGGACUCUUCUUCACCCGUCGAGGUCGACCUCUCCAUCUCUGAUCCGUACUCCAUCCCCAUCAAAACGCCACAAGCAAGAACAUCAACUUAUCACCUACAAACCGAUUGUAAUACCGUUAAACCCAUUCACCGGCAACAGAGAUGUACAUCAGGUUUGGUGGAACUCAACAAAAUGAAGCAUCUCCAAUUCAGUUUUGUUUCAAACAACAAACAUCUAACUUCCGGCGUCGACCAACAUAAUCAAUGCGUUAACACUGCUCUCACCACACGACCUUCACUCCGCGACGCCUGAUUUAUACUCCGAACAUCCAUCACCAAGUGAUCUUCAAAUGUAAUCCAGCUGUCAAACCACCCAACAGCUACAAAGUGCAGCCACUACUCGAUUCUGAUUUUGAAAAAUUGGUUUAUCCGGUGUUACAGCGAUUUGUGUACUAAUAUUACUGGCCUUGAUCUUGUUCGUUUAUCAUGCUCAAGUUCAAUAAGUUCGGCAUUCCGGUGGUAAUCUUUGAUAUCGAUCUUCCAUUAUGUUUUUGUUGUCUUAACCAUUUUCAGUAUGCUGAUACUCUUUUUUAAAAAAAAUUGUGGUACAUUCUAUCUUGGUCAGGAAAACGAUUUGAAAUUCUGGUAUCAGAUAUGAGAUGUCGAAGGUAAUGUCAUGACACUAAUAUCUGAACAAUACAAACAGGAUAAAAGAUUAAAAAAAACAGUAAUGCAAGAGACACAAGCAAUUGUUAACCCAGUUCGGUGCAAACUCACCUACGUCUGGGGGCUACCAAGCCAGGAAGGAAAUCCACUAAACAAAAUCAGUUCAAAGACUCUUAGUAAACAACUUCAAGUUACAUCCUUUUCACCUAAUCUUUAUCCGUGUGACUUCUACCUAAGAACUCUUAGAUAUGAGAUCCUACUCACUCCCCCUCAAUCGCAGCAGUGAUAUAAAAUAAGAAUUACAAUGAAAAGAAGACACUCUUCAAAGACACAUACUUGAUCUUACUUAAAAGCUUCAAUCAAGUAAACACACACUCAUGCUUCAAAGCUUAGAGUGGACAAAUAAAAAUAAGAAUUACAAUGAAAAGAAGACACUCUUCAAAGACACAUACUUGAUCUUACUUAAAAGCUUCAAUCAAGUAAACACACACUCAUGCUUCAAAGCUUAGAGUGGACAAAUUACAACUCAAAAGUCAGUCCAAUUCAAUCAUCUAUGGAUGAAUGAAUGGCUUACAAAACACACGACCACACAAGACUCAAACCCUUAUUCUCUCUCAAUAUAUCGUUCGUUAUUUCUUGUGUGUACAACCAAGUUUUCCAUGUCCUUUAUAUAGAAGCAAUUGGUUGGGCUUGGACAUCAUAAAACCCUAAAACUAUUUUCCAUUCAUAUCUUCUCAUGACAGCUGAUUAUAUCUCCUUGGAAAAUAAGUCAAUCUAGUUGUAAUUACUAAUUGAUAGCGCGUUCAAUCAUCUCAUCAAUCAUACAUAGAUUAGCAUUAAAAACGCAAUCACAUAAUACAUAACAUUCAGACUGAAUGUUCUGUAUACAGAUGCCAUGACAUCGGGUCUGACAUCUCAGUAAAAUCCUGCAUAAUCACAUUUUAAACACCUUGCAGGUACAUGUUAUCUUAUGUCAAGACAACACUUGUGACAACUUGUGAACAUUCUAGGUUUUACCAAAAUUGCUGCCAACACAUAGAACCAACAAACUCCCCCUUUGGCAAAUUUUAGCUAAAACAUAUAUCAGUCCAUUUGUUCACAAGAGUAAAAAACAUAUCAACAGUUAAGCAGCAGCAGAAGUAAUAAACCACACAUUUACUAGCUAUAAUAGCAACUAGUAAACACACAUUAAACACAUAUGUGCUUCUUCUCCCCCUAAGUCUGUUCAACACAGACAUCUCCUUCAACAACACCUAUAACGUCCAUCACCCCAUCUGACAUCUCCUUCAACAUCACCUCUUCUCCACAAAACAUCAUCCUGUUUAACAUCAGCUGUCAUCUGUUUAUAGCCUAGCUACUUCAUAACACAUAUUCACUGCAGCUCUCCUAUAGCUACUUCUCCCCCUUUUUAGUCAAAAUAGACCAAAGAGACCAAUGAGACAAAAUAAAUGUCUAUUAGUCCAACAUAGAAUGUCACAUAGAAUGUUAAAACAUAUAGAAUGUUAAAACAUAUAGAAUGUUAAAACAUAUUGUCAGGUGUUACAUAACCACAAUUAUACACAACUAUAUAAGCUGAGAUAAAAAGAAAUCCAGAGAAAUCACAAGGAGAACCCAAAAAUUACAUCAAGGCAUCAAAAUAAGACUUCCAAAAAAACAUAAAACAUCAAACAUCAAACAUCAAGGCAUCCAGAACAGCACAUCAUUAUAACAGGGGAACCAUCUUCACCACCACGCAGUCAGAGGAGCUAGCAUCUUCAUCAGCUUCAGAUCCAGAACUGCCACUUGAUUUAUCUUGAGAUUCAGACCUCUCACUUGAGGUGUCGGCAUCUGUGUCCUUGGCUUGACCAAUAUUAUCCAUAUCUCCUUGCUCCAAGCUAUUAAUCAGAACCUCCAGAGCUUCUUUCCUAGCUUUAGCCACCCUUAUCCCAGUCUCCAAUUCCUUACAGGUCUCUUUCAGUUCAGCAAUCGGGCCACCUUGAGAGGAUGGCUUCUUUACAGCAGAUGUCAUGACAAUGUCAUUGACAUGACUGCCUUCAAAUAAUUUGUAAUGAAGUAACAAUGGAGGUUUUCUUCUACCAGGGAUAUCACUUGUGCUCAGUAUUCCAGGUUGCUGGCUUAGGAUUAUCCCACAAAUUAUUGAGGGAAAAGCAAUGGGCAGCUUCACUACAUUUGUAGAAGCAUGUUUGACAAUUUGUUCAAACAUGAAUCUUCCAUAAUCAAAAUUAAGCUUGGUUCCAAUAGCAAAUAUAAGCCUUCCAAGAGCAUUUGAGAUUGUAGAGAUGUGAUUUGUUGGUACCCAGUUUGUUGACCCUAUCUUAUGCAAGAUAGCAUAUUUCACAGUUAAUUUUCCAGCAGAGAGAUGCUUCUUGCUUGGCCACUCCUUGACCUGUCCAACAGUUAUUUUCCUACAGACUUCAUUGUCUGUGGCCUCUAGUUCAACAACACCUUCUGUUCCUCUUCCUAGGAACUUAUUGAUCACAGUUGGAGAACACUUUACACACUUUCCUCUAACAAACACCUUACAAAACUCUUUGAUGUUAUUGUCAGUAAUGUCCUCAGGGAUGUUCACCACAAAGUCUUUAACAAGACCUUCAAAACAUUGAGAUAACCCACUAACUAUUUUCAUUAAACCAGCAGACUUAAUCAGGUCCAUGACCUCCUUAACUUCCACAGCAUCCUUUCCCAGUUCUCUUUCCACAGCCACUCUCCUUUGGAUUACAAAUUUCCACUUGGCUGCACCAUCUUCAAGAUGGAAGGAAAUGUUAUCCAGAUGCACAGCAACAACCUUUGCAGGAGAUUUUCUAACAUUUGAUCUUUUGACAGGAGAUAUGUCUGGGACAUCAUCUUCAAUAUCUUCCUCUGAAUCAGAACUUUCUCUUACCUUUCUCUUCUUUACCUCUAUUUUACUCCAAGACUUUGAAGGGCCUACAGCAGUAGCCUUCUUACCAAUUUUGGCUGUCAUCAUCUCAGCCACAAACCUUCCCUUUCUGGUCUUCAUUCUCUUUGCAACACUUGGCUUCAAGUGAUGAAGCAAGCUAUCAUCUUCAUCAUCUGAGCUUUCUUCUUCCAAGUCAAUCACCUUCUUACCAGAGUCAUGCUUCUUAGACUGAGAAACAUCUACAGAUUUCUUACUAGGCAAGGUUUGCCCUAAAGAACACAGUCCUUCUGUAGCAAUAUCUUUCUCAGACCUAGAUAAAUCAUCAUCUUUCUCAUUGUGAGGUUCAACUUCAGGAGAAGGGUCCCUUCUAGACAGAGGAGUAGACACUCCCUUUGCAGAGUGUCAUUCAUUUAGGAUCCUCGUGACAAGAUUUCUAAUGACACAAUCAGUAUGAUGCAUGUCAUCUUUAGAGGUAGGGUUAUCAGAAUUGUUACCUUGAGUAUGUCCAGCAGUGGAGGAUGGACCAGGAGCGUCGCUUGGGAUGACUGAUAGGGGAAUCACUUCCAAAAUGUCCUCAUGAAGAAAGUCCAUAGAGGGUGUUCUAGCUUUGUGCGCAGGUUUAGUGUUUUUAGAACCAGAAGAUGAAGGAUGUUGUGACAUCUUGUUGAGCUUGUGAAAGAAUUUUUGUUGAUGGUCGAUGAAGUUUGAGGAAGAUGGAAGUGGUUGAGCUGAGGUUGCGUGUGAAAAUGCUAUAAAUGGUAGUUCCAAUACUGGGUAAUGAUUUACCAUAAAUGGGGCACUUUCUUUUAAGUGGGCAGACAAUAUUUUUAUUACCUUUUCCACUCCAAAUUAAUUGCUAUAAAUUCUCAUGGAUACAAAUCCCUAAUUUCCCUCUUAAACAUUCAAAUUGAUUAGCAUCCAAAGCCUUUGUAAAUAUGUCAGCUAAUUGCAUUUCAGUAGUAACAUGCUCUAGGGCUAUGACUUUUUCUUCCACCAGUUCUCUAAUAAAGUGAUGACGAAUAUCAAUGUGUUUUGUCCUGCUGUGCUGAAUAGGAUUCUUAGAAAUAUUUAUAGCACUUAGGUUGUCACAGUACAAUGUCAUGACAUCUUGCGCGACAUUGUAUUCAGUCAGCAUCUGUUUCAUCCAAACCAGUUGAGAACAACUACUUUCAGCUGCUAUGUAUUCAGCUUCAGCGGUGGAAAGGGACACACAAUUUUGUUUCUUACUAAACCAUGAUAUUAAGUUGUUCCCCAAGAAGAAACAUCAUCCUGAUGUGCUUUUCCUAUCAUCAGCAUUUCCAGCCCAGUCAGCAUCACAGUAUCCAGUUAGCAUAGAUCCAGAACCAUAAGUAUACAACAUCCCAUAGUCACUGGUGCCAUUGACAUAUUUCAGUAUCCUCUUCACUUGGUUUAUGUGACUGACUUUUGGUUCAACUUGAGGAGGUUCACUCUCAUUAUUUUUGUCUAGGAAAUCAACUGGGGCAUCAUUUAGAGAUGUCUCAACAUCAUAUGUGACAUCCGACUGUUGAUCAUCAACCAUAACAUUGAUAGAUUCCAUCAUUACUUUUGUUCUGGACUUAAAGACUCUAUAUGCUCUGUUGUUUGUUGAAUAGCCCAGAAAUAUUCCUUCAUCACUCUUGGGAUCCAUCUUCCUUCUUUGUUCACGAUCAGUCAAGAUAUAACAUUUGCUACCAAACACAUGGAAGUAUUUGGACUGUUAGGUCUUUUCCUUCAGACUUCAUACAAAGUAGUUAGGAGUCCCUUUCUUCAAGGUUACUCUGUUGUGAACAUAGCAGGCUGUGUUCAUGCUUCAGCCCAGAAGUGGUAGGGAAAUUUCUUAGCAUGAAUCAUAGCUCUGGCUGAUUCUUGGAGAGUUCUAUUUUUCCUUUAUACCACACCAUUUUGCUGAGGCAGGAAUGGGAGAUGAGAACUCAUGACUAAUUCCUAUGAUGCACAGAAUCCACCAAAUUUGCUAUUUCAAAUUCCUUCCCAUGAUCACUUCUGAUUUAUGAUACCUGGGACUUUCUUUUUCUCUUUGAAGUCUUAGACAAAGAUCUUUGAAGACUUCAAAUACAUCAGAUUUUUCUCUUAUAAAAUUGACCCAGGUGUAUCUGGAGAAGUCAUCCACCACUACAUAAGCAUAUGUCUUCCCACCAAGACUUUCCACCUGCAUGGGACCUAUCAAAUCCAUAUGGAGAAGUUCCAGCACUCUGGAAGUGGUGUCAUGUCUGAGCUUCUGAUGUGACAUUUUUGUCUAUUUUCCAAUCUGACAUUCCCCACAAACUCUUCCUUCAUCAAUCUUCAACUUUGGAAUUCCUCUAACAGCUUCAACAGAUAUAAUCCUCUUAAUUCCUUUAAGAUGCAGAUGGCCCAAUCUUUGAUGCCAUAUCUUCACUUCUUCUUCUUUGGCUAGAGUACACAUUGAUAAAUAACCAGUUUCUUGAGAACUCCACAUGUAGUAGUUGUCCUUAGACCUGACUCCUUUCAUGAUCACUUCAUUUUCUUUAUUAGUAAUCAGACAUUCAGGUUUUGUGAUGUUUACAGUUAAACCUUGGUCACACAGUUGUUGAUGCUUAUUAGGUUUGCAGUCAGUCCCUUAACAAGUAGGACAUUGUCAAGGUUAGGGACUCCAGGGCAGUUAAGCUUACCAAUCCCCUUGAUUUCACCCUUUGCUCCAUCACCAAAGGUUACAUAAAGUCAGUCCCUUAACAAGUAGGACAUUGUCAAGGUUAGGGACUCCAGGGCAGUUAAGCUUACCAAUCCCCUUGAUUUCACCCUUUGCUCCAUCACCAAAGGUUACAUAGCUGGUGGCAUGAGGAUGAGGGUCAGUUAGCAGGUUUUUGUUUCCAGUCAUGUGUCUGGAGCACCCACUGUCAAAAUACCAGUCUUCUUUGGGUGAAACUCUGAAGGAAGUGUGAGCUAUCAGGUUUGUAACACCAGUCCUAGGAACCCAUUGUUUUCUGUUGACAGGUAUGUGAUGUUUGGGUCAAGGUUGAUGAUGAGAAGGACUAGGAUAGCCAUAUAACUUAUAGCAGAAUGGUUUUAUAUGGCCAAAUUUUCCACAGUAAUGACAUCUCCAUCUUUGAUGUUUCCCUUUCUGUUGUCUUCCUUUAUGAUGUUGUGACAUAUGAUGUGACAUCUUUGGUUUGCUACAAGUGUGACUGCACUCAGGUUUGGAUUUUGGUUUGCUACCAGUGUGACUGCACUCAGGUUUGGAUUCAUUGAACCCAAUGCCAGACUUGUCUCCUGUCAUUUGUCCAGUCUGGAGAAUUUUGUCUAAGGUGUCAGAUCCAUUGUUUAGCAUUCUUACAUACUUUGUCAUCUCAUCCAAUUUGGAAUUCAAGAACAUUGCUUUAGUCUUUAACUUAGAGAUGGUUUCCAAGUGUUCUACCUUCUCAUUCUCCAGUUGUGUUAUCACUUUCUUCUGACUUUCAACUUGUUGACACACUUCUUCACUUCUGUGACACAACUUUCUGUAGGUAGUGGCUAACUCAUCACUUGAGUCUUCGUCAGAACCCCAUCUUCCAGUCAAUGCAGUCACAAGAUUUGCAGACUCUUCUGUCUCACUUUCAUCAGACCAAGUAGCAACAAGACUCUUCUUCUGUUUCUUGAGGUAGGUUCCACAUUCAGCUCUAAUGUGUCCAUACCCAUCACAUUCAUGGCACUAAACUCCUUUUCCUUCUUUGGUAUUUUCAUCAGAUCUUAUUCUUCUUCCAGCAUUAUUGGACUUACUGAUGUCAUAUGAGAUGUUCUUGACAUUAGACUUAGACCUUACAUCCAUCUUUUUCAGAAGUCUGUUGAACUGUCUUCCCAGUAAUGUUACAUCAUUUUCCAGAUCUUCAUCAGUAUCUUGACCACUUUCUUCCUCUUUCUCUUUAGUGUUUGACAUGAAGGCUAUGCUUUUGACUUUCUUUUCAGAUACAUCACACAUUCCCAUCUCAAAUGUUUGGAGGGAUCCAAUUAGCUCAUCAACUCUCAUAUUGGAAAUGUCUUGAGACUCUUCUAUGGCUAUCACUUUCAUGGCAAAUCUCUUAGGAAUGACCUGAGUGUUUCCCUCACUAGUUUUUCAUCUGACAUCUUCUCACCCAGGGCUCUGAGGCAUUAGCAAUUUCAAGGAUAUUCAUAUGAAAUUCAUGAAUAUUUUCAUCUUCUUUCAUCCUUAAAUUUUCAAACUUGGUAGUGAGCAGCUACAGUCUAGACAUCUUCACUCUAGAGGUGCCUUCAUGAGUGGUUUUGAGAAUGUUUCAAGCAUUUUUUAGCCACCUCACAGUUGUUUACCAAUAUGAAGAUAUUCUUAUCUACUCCAUUGAAUAUAGCAUUCAAUGCUUUAGAGUUCCCAAGGGCUAGAUCAUCCUCCCUUCCGGUCCAUUGUUCCUCAUCCUUCUUAUCAGUUGUAGCUUCUCAUCCUUAGUAAUAACUGGAUGUUCCCAACCUGUUAAAACAACCUUUCCAAGCCUUAUUAUCAAAGAUUUUAGGAAGGCUACCAUUCGAGGUUUCCAGUAGUCAUAGUUGGAUCCAUCCAGAAUAGGUGUCUGUGAACAGAUCCUCCGUCCUAUCCAUAGUACCAGAAAGUAACAUCCAUAGAUCUCACCAGACCAGAGCAGGAUGGCUGCUAUGAUACCAAUUGAAAUCUGGUAUCAGAUAUGAGAUGUCGAAGGUAAUGUCACGACACUAAUAUCUGAACAAUACAAACAGGAUAAAAGAUAAAGAACAUAAUGCAAGAGACACAAGCAAUUGUUAACCCAGUUUGGUGCAAACUUACCUACGUUGGGGCUACAAAGUCAGGAAGGAAAUCCACUAAACAGAAUCAGUUCAAAGACUCUCAGUAAACAACUUCAAGUUACAGUCUUUUCACCUAAUCUCUACCGUGUGAUUCUACCUAAGGAACUCUUAAUAUGAGCAUCCUACUCACUCCCCCUCAAUCACAGUAGUGAUAUAAAACAAGAAUUACAAUGAAAAUAAGACACUCUUCAAAGACACAUACUUGAUCUUACUUAAAAGCUUCAAUCAAGUAAACACACACUCAUGGUUCAAAGCUUAGAGUGGACAAAUUACAACUCAAAAAUCAGUCAAAUUCAAUCAUCUAUGGAUGAAUGAAUGGCUUACAGUACACACGACCACACAAGACUCAAACCCUUAUUCUCUCUCAAUAUUUUCUUGUGUGUACAACCAGGUUUUCCAUGUCCUUUAUAUAGAAGCAAUUGGUUGGGCUUGGACAUCAUAAAACCCUAAAACUAUUUUCCAUUCAUAUCUUCUCAUGAUAGUUGAUUAUAUCUCCUUGGAAAAUAAGUCAAUCUAGUUGUAAUUACUGAUUGAUAGCGUGUUCAAUCAUCUCAUCAAUCAUACAUAGAUUAGCAUUAAAAACGCAAUCACAUAAUACAUAACAUUUAGACUGAAUGUUCUGUAUACAGAUGUCAUGACAUCGGGUCUGACAUCUCAGUAAAAUCCUGCAUAAUCACAUUUUAACCAUCCUGCAAGUACAUGUUAUCUUAUGUCAAGACAACACUUGUGACAACUUGUGAACAUUCUAGGUUUUACCAAAAUUGCUGCCAACACAUAGAACCAACAAGAUUUUUUUUUAUUUGAAAAUUUCCUUAAGUUUGUUGUUGAAGUUGAAAAUAUGGUUUUACCAUGUAACUUAAAAACACUUCUGAAUCUACAUCGGCUUUGCAUUUGGAAUAUAGUGAUUGUCUUGUUUAAAUUCUGUUUCAUUAGCAAGUUGUUAUGAAAUUAUGUGGGUUUUAUUCAUUGUGCUAUAAAUAGUAUUUGAUUCUUUAAUUUUUAAAGGAGAACUUGUUUCUAAACAUGAGCAUGGGCACUUGAGGUUUGAUUAUCUUUCUACUGUCAAUGUUCGUUUGAGAAUUAAAUUAGGAUAGAAAUGUUGGAUUAUCACUUUUAUUGGUGUUGUUCUAGUCUUAUAAAAAGGGAAGAAAAAGCAAGGUGUAGGUUUGUUUCAGUGGUUGUCAUUUGAUUUUGGAGCAUGUUGAAUUUGCAAACCAUAUAUAUAUACUUUGAAUGGUUACUGUGUUGUGUAGGAACCUGUAAAUGGAUUUUAUUUCAUUUUUACUUCUAACUUUUUUUAAUGGUCAACGAGCUUUAUUGCAAUUAAGUAAAAUAUGGAUAAUAUUAACCAUAACUUUGUGAGUAUAUUAUUAAUUAAUUAUUAAUAUUGUGAUGAUAUUGUCAAUUGAUGCUUAAAGAUUGUGAUUAUAUUUAUAAGUGAUUGCUAAAAAUUGUAAUGAUAUUAUUAGUAGCUUAUUGAAACAUUAUAGUGUAUAUAGAUUCUUGACCCAAUGAUGUUAUGGAAUUGUUGAGUUUCGGUAACUUAUUAUGAGCUUUGCAAAUAUAGUUCGUUUCUACUACAUUGUGUUGAAUCGGACCUCUAUCCAUGGAUUCAACAAUUUUAUGCAGAUAUGCCGCCAAGUUUCAAUAAAUUAACAGAAUAUUUCACCGCAUUUUGAUCCACAUACGACAAUCCAAAUCAGUUGUCGCUAUGUACAAACCGGUUUAUGAGCCCAUUGUCACCGAUUUAAUUCAAUCAAUUAUAUCAACAUCAUUACUUAAUUCUUUCUCUUUUGAUUAUAACAAAUUAAUUAAUUAAUUAAAUUUUGUCCAAUUAGUUAAUUACCAUUAAUUUAUUUUAAUUAACUUGAUUAUUUAAUUUUAAUUAAAUAAUUUUGAUAAUUAAUCCUAAUUAAUUUAAUUAAUCGAUUCAAUCAAACUUUAAUCGAUUAAUUUUGAUAAUUAAAAAUUGAUUGAUUUCUUUCACUACCGCCAUUUCGUAUCAUUUCUAAACCAAAACCCAUCCAAUCUCACUCAUAAGCGAAAAUCUUGGUCCAAUGCCGAGUAUUUUUUAUUUAAAUCCGAUCAAUCACGCAGAUUCAAAUCAUUUUUCAAAUCGAUAUAACUUCUAAAGAAUAUUCUUUUAUAAUUUAAGCUUGGGACGAAAAAGAGUAUAGGAGAUGUUCGCUUCACUAUCUCUCAAAUAUUCGAAUGAUUGACGUCCGCCAUAUUGCUUGAAUUCUUGUAGCCCGAUUAAAACCUUACCAAAUUCGAAUUCAAAUAAUUUCUUCCAAAUUAAUAUAAUUUUAAAGAAUUUUAUUCAAACUUCGGAUAAAAAGGAUGGGAGGCGUUCGCCUCAACAUCUCUUGAAUAAUUGAAUGAUUGGCGCUCGCCAUAUUGCUCAAAUUAUCGACUUCCGAUUAAAACACACUAAAUGAACUUGGAUAAUGGAAUGAGUGGCGCAUGCCUCAUUGUUCCUUGAAUAAGAAAUUGGGAGGCGCACGCUUCACUACCGCGCAUAUUCAAUUUCCGCAAACAGCUUUCAAUAAUAAUUUAAACAAAAAGGGAGUAGAAGGUGUUCGCCUUGUUAUUCCUUGAAAGAAUUGAACGAAUGGUGUGCACCAUAUUGCUCAAUCUUUUGUCGUUCUUCUUAAAAAUACCAAAUAUAUUAAACUUAAUUUCUCGCCCCCGUGCGACCAACAACUUAAAUCUUUUUAGAAAGAACACUAUUUAAUCCUUUCUAACGCGCACAACUAACUAGUGCUUAAGCCUCCGCCGAGAGUAGACAACCCAACGUUUAGCCUUUAGAACGCGAUCUAAAUAGUCGUUCAUUAAAAGACACCAACCAACCGUAGUUCCCCGAACUACGAAUGCUCUUAUUUCCUUAUUGCACCAUAAGGAUACGUAGGCACGAGAUUGCGAGAUCUUGGCGAGCACACUAAUAAAAAACCUUCAUUUUCCCCCUUCUGAGGUUUCCAUCCAUCUCUAUUUUCAAUAUUUUAUCCCUCGAAGAAAACAAGCAACAUAAGCUAACAUUCAAAUCGCAGUUUUAACUAAAAGGUUCCGGUUGAGUACAACGGACGUGAGGGGUGUUAAUACAUUCCCCUUGCGUAAUCAACUCUCGAACCUGAAUAUGGUUGUGACGACCAUUAUUCUAUUUUUUAAGGUUUUAUCGAUAUUUUCCUAUUCCUUCAUUGGGAUAGAUAAAGUUCGGUGACGACUCUGUUCGAACUAAAUUUUUCCGCGACCAUCGUGAGGAAUCAUAUUUUUCGAGAUACGACACCUGCCACGAUGCCUUUUGGUCAUGGCACGGUUGGUUGUUUUCACGUUGGUUGUAGCACGCCGUGUACGCGAUUUUUUCUGGGACUUUGGCUCCUUUUUUCUACUAUUUUCUUCAUAUUUCUUCCUUUCUCCUGUUUCUUCAUUUCCUUGUACUUUUCUCACAAACUAAUUCAAUUUAAACUCAAAUGACAUCAAAACAUUAACUAAUGCUCAUUAAAAUUACAUGAUGACAGAGAGUCAUCAGUGGACAUAGAGAGAAGAGAGUUUCAGAAAACCAUUCCUGGUAGGGUCACUGUAAAUGUCAUGAUAAACGAGGCACGACAUGCCUUGAAGUACAAAAGGUAUGGGAGGAACCGAGGGGUCAGAUAUACUCAAUAUUUGACUUUUUCUUUGUAUUUUGAUAACUUGCAUUUUUGUGAACAAUGUAUGAUUUUCAUUUUGACUUAAUAUAUGGUAUUGGAUGAAUUACAUAAGUGUAACGAUUCAUUAAAUAACAAUUAUGUAUAUUUUUUUAUAAAUGACUUAAAAUAUAAGGUUUAUUAAGUCAAAUUUAUAACAAACUUUCUACUCAAAAGGAAAACUUAGUGUCCUAAGGAUUAGUAUGGAACUUAACUUCCAUUUUAUCCAUUGAAUUGUGAACUAAACACAAUAUAAUGAGUUCAAAAUGUGUCCAAGAGUUAGUCCAUAACUUAAUCUACAGACUCAUUAUUCCAUCAUUACGGAGAUUGACUUAUGUUCUUUUUUUUAGCAAAAUAGAUGUGGCUCACUUAUUAAAUAUUUUGAUGUGUAUUUUUAGGGAUGAAAUUGUACCCAUCUUCAAUACACACCCGCAAUUAGGGCUGGAAAAAAGUCGAAUCGAACUUGUCGCAGCUCGACUCGACUCGUUAAGAAUUGAUUUAAUUUAAAUCUCGAUUCGAGUUUGACACGAACUUUUUUUAAGCGCAAUCUCGGCUCAUUAUAAGUUCAUGAAUAAUUCGGUUCAACUCGUUAGGUUCAUCUCGUUAGGUUCAGUUCACUUGCUUCACGAACUUAAAAACAAUUUUCUUAAAUCUAUUUUUUAUAUAUAUAUUUGAUAUUUUAAAUUAAUAUUUUAAUAUAAUAAAAUUUAUCAGAUUGAAAUGCUACUAUCUCAAAAAUCUACUAAUUUAAAAGCUACACAAUUUUCAAGAAAUACAUUUAAAAAUCUAAUUCAAAAACUACUCAGUUGGAGCCUAAACUUGUCUUUAAAAUCCAUAUCUUCAUCUAAUUAUUUAUAAAGUUACAAAUUUAAUGAAAUAGUAUACCAAAAAUUGAUAGAAAUUGAUACAUUUCCAUCACAUAAUAAUUACAUCACUGGUAACAUUCAUUAUACAUGUUAUCUUAACAAAUGUUAUUAUGCCUCAAAUAAGGAUGACUAUAAAUGCAAUUGUCAAUUUUACUGUCAUAACUAGUACGGAAGAGACAACAUAGGGUUAUGAUUUUGAGUAAAUAUUUAAACAUACUCUUAAAGAUAAUAUAAUCAUUCUCAUAUAUAAUCGAGUUGACUCAUGAACCUAACGAGUCGAACUAUUUAUAAUUUAAGUUCAGUUCGUUUAGUUAACGAACUUAGUUUUUCGCUCAUAUUCAGCUCAUUUGAUUCGUGAACCUAGUUUAACAAUUUAAUUGUCGAUCUGAGUUCCGAAUUAUUUUCGAGUUGGUUCGGUUCAUUGUCAGUCCUACCCACAACAGAUAUGGUAAAAACCCGCAAAUGGAUAUGGGCAUAGGCACGAGUAGUUUUUCACUAAAAUAAGUGGAUAUGAAAUCGGGUACAUGUAUCUUAAUACUCACCUCGCCUCAUAUCCGCACAAUAUAUAUUUAUAUAUUUUUAUUUUUAUUAUUAUUUAAACACAUGCAUGCUUAUCAAUUUUAUUAAAUGCAUUACUAUUAAACUUGUACGCAUUUUAAUUUAAAUUUAUUUAUUUAUUUCUUAACUCAACAAUAACGUUUUUGAAUUUUUUUUUAAAUGUUUUAAAAACUUAAAAUCACAUGAUAAAUUAUAAUUGAUCAAUAAUUUUUUAUUAGAAAUACGGAUAAACGGGUACGAAUAUGGAUACUUAAGUACCCAUUAGAUGCGAAUACAGAUAUAAAUGUUGGUUUUUAUGCGGGUAUAAAUUCGAUACAAAGAUUUUUUCAAAUCACAUGUAAUGAGACGGAAAAAUCCUAUCUAUUGUCAUCCCUAUAUGCAUUCCAAAAGCAUUGUUAAAUUUCAUAAAAGUAACUCUUCAUCGGUACCUAUAUCAAUAGAAAGACAAAUGCAUUUUCUGUGUUUUGUGCAAUGGACUAUUCCAUUGCUUAAUCGUGUGUUUACUACCUCCACUAAAAUAAACUAUGUAAGAAGUUUCAUUAAUUAAAUUCCAAAACUAGCACUAAACGUAAUUGAUAACAUCACCCACCACUAAGGGCCUUUCUUUUCUCCAAGUACUCCUCAUUAAUUAUUUUAUCUUCUCUGCAUUUCAUUCAAUGUAUUAUUUUAUUACUCUCAAUUGCAACCAAUAGCCAAGCUUCAGUCCAGGUUUUUUAAAUUGCUUACCAUCAUAAACCUUAAGUGUUAAAAUACAAGUUGCACUCUAUAUCCAAUUGCAUCUUUUUAAAACUUGUUGAUGACUAAAUUAACUCGGUUUUUAAUUUUCUCUACUGGACCACCACGUGUCUGUAUAACGAGAAUUUAACUUGUCACCUUCAGCUAUUACUGACACUCCUCAUUUUAUAUAAAUAGACGAUACUAUCCCUGCAACAGUUUUCACUUAUUGUUUUUCAAAUUCACCUAUCACACGCGCGAUUUUUGAAAUCUCUGGGACAAAUACCAAAAAUUUCCUUUUUUUAAUCAAAAAUACUUUGUAUUAGUUCAAAACCAAGAACACAAAAGGCGAUCAUAAGAGAUCCAGCCCUCCAAAAAGACAAGUCAAAAACAAAAAGAGACAAAGAGCUACAUCAUCUAAGUAGCUAUGUGAGGUCUAAGUCUCUCACUAUACCAACAUCUAUAAAAAAUCAUGUCAAUAAUAUUAUUUAUUAUAUUUUUGUUAUCUACAUUGUUUCCUAAAUACUUGUCAUUUUGGUAUCUCCAAAUGUCAUAGAUAGUUUCCGCAACAGUCAGCUUUAGGAUGGAAGCCCUUCAUCCCUUACCCUUGCUACGAGACACAAUUCAACCCAACUCUUCCCACCAUUCCUUGGGAACAUGGUCCACUUGGAUCCAUUCAAGGAUUUUCAACCAAAUGGCUUUAGACUCUCUGCAUCCAUAGAAGAGAUGAUCCAAGGUCUCUUCAUGAGAGCAUAAAUAACAAGUAUUUGUAUCAAUCAAUCUGAACCUACAAAGCCUAGCUUUCGUAGGGAGUCUCCCAUGACAAGCCAACCAUAAUCUCAUUACCGUUCUUGGUCUUACCACAUUAUCAUAAAUCAUUCGGUUCCAUAUCACUUUAUUUUUACUCAUGCUUCUGAGCUUCAAGUACACUUUCUUAGUGGUGAAUCUAUCACAUUGAAGUUGAUGUUGCCAAAGGGUUUGCACAUGUGCAAUUUUCUCUCUUUGAUGAAAAAUAACACGCAUAAUCCAUGAAUGUCUAGCCUUAGCAUCCAUAUUCAUCAGCUCACCUCCUUUGAUGUAGUAACUGUGUAUCCAUUUCACCCAAAGAUUAUCAGAUUUCUUGCAAAGAUUCCAAAGGAGUUUUAACAUUGUGGUGUGGUUCCAAGUACCCAACUCAAUGAUGUUUAGACCACCAUACUUCUUAGGGUUGCACGCUUGCUUCUAGACAAUAGGACUCUUGCUGCUAAUAUCAGAAUUACCAGUCCAAAGAAAAGAACUCAUAAUUGCAUCAAUUUUAUGAAUCACAGUCUUAGGAAGAGGGAGACGUUGCAUCCAAUAGUUAGUGACAACAAAGGAGACAAACUUAAUAAGUUGCAUUCUACAUGCAUAACUAAGAAGGUUGUUGCUCCAAUGUCUGACGUUUCCAACAUCUUAUCUAGAAGACUCAUAUAAUAAUGAAUAUUCAACUAUUUACUGGACAAAGGAACACCCAGAUAUCUAAAAGGGAGGGUACCCUGCUCAAAAGUAAUCAUGACAAUGAUCAUAACCCUGGUAUUUGCAUCAACCUCACCAAAGAAAACUUUACAUUUCAUGGGAUUCACAGCCAGACCAGUGGACUUGGCAAAGAGGUCCAGAGCAUUCAGCAUCAAUUUAAUAGACCCACAAUCACCUCUAGCAAAAAGUAAAAUAUCAUCAACAAAGGUCAAGUUGGUGAUUUGGAGUCUUUCGCAUUUGGCAUGAUGUUUUAAAUCUGGAUUUUUCUACAUCUUGAGCAAGGGUGAUAAAGGAUCCCCUUGUUUGUUCAAGUAUUCAAAUUUGCCUGCCGGAAUUUUGAAAAACAAUAUGUUUUUUAUCGAACUGAUUAAGUAUCGUAAUUUUCAUUUUUUUUGAUAAUUUACCAUGAAAAUUUCACAAUUUGCGAUACAAAAUGACCUAUAAAUUUCUCGAAAUUUUCAAAAUUUUAAUAGUUCUAAAAACUUUGUUUUUCAUCGAAAAUUCCAGAAAUUUCGAAAAAAAUUAGAAAAAUUGUAAAAUUCUCAUAACUUUUGUAAAAUCAGGAAAAUUGUAAAAUUUGUAAUAUUUCCCAACACAAAGGGUAAAUUUGUUUUAGUUUUUUCUUUAAAUGAUUUUUAUAAUGAUAUAUGUUUUUGUUAAAAAAUAUUUAAAAAAUUAAAAAAAAAAUAACUUUAAAAUUAUAAAUUGGUUGAAAUUAUUUUUCAUAAAAUUAUUUUGUUUUUUUUAUAUAAUUUUUUUAAUAUAAAAUUUUAAGAUAUCUUUUAAAUUUAAAACUAUUUUGAAUCAUUUUUCAUAAAAAUUAUUUUGAAAUAUUAUGUAAUUUUGAUUAUAUUUUUAAUCUUCAAAAAUAUAUAUUUAGAUCACACGAUGAUAAUAUAAAAAAUAAAUUUAAAAAAAUUAUUAGUUUACUUUACAAAAGUUAUUUUUAAAAAUAUAAAAGAAAUUCUACUUUUUAAGAUAAAACGACCUAUAUUUAUGGAAAAUCAAGACAAUUUUUGAAACAAACUCGCUACAUGCAACAUAAGAAAUACACACCUUUCACAAGAUAAAGAGAGGAUGUUGAUUGAAUUUCAUAUUUAAAAUGAGGAUCCCACAAGGCAAUCUAAAGAGUGCAAAACAAACUCAUUUGCAAAAGACUAAAAGGUAGUCAAAUUAUCAAAGCAUUGCUUUAUGCAUUCAAUGGCACAAGUGCAUCAAUUUAGUGGAUUUUGUGGAUAAGUUUAAGUGCCCGUUUGUUUUGAUUUUUUCUAAAAAAAAUUUUAUAGUGUUACAUAUUUUAAUAUAAAAAAAAUUUAUAAAGAAAUUUUUCAUAAAAGCUUCAAAUGAAAAUUUGGUUUGAAUAGUUAUUCUUAAAAUGUUAUUUUAGAUAUUUCAUCAUUUUAUCGAAACUUUUUUUGGAUAUCAAAUUUUCAAAAUAUCACUUAAUUUUGAAGCUAUUUCAAAUAACUUUCAUAAAAAAUAUUUUAAGAUACAAUUUUUUGAAAAAAUUGUGAUUUUGACUAUAUUUUAAUCUUCAAUAAUGUAUAUUUAUGUUAUAGAAUGAAUAAUUCAAUUUUUUAAUUUAUAAAAAAUAAAUUUAAAAAAACUUUUAAUAUUUUAAAAAAUAUUUUUGUAGAAUUCAUUUUUAAAAAUACAAAGAAAAAAUCUAUUUUUUUAAAGUUAAAAUAAAUUGGCCAUAGAUAAGACCUUCUAGAUUUUGAAAAAUUAUAUGACUUUGUUAGUUGGAGUUUUUUUUUUUUUUUUGUAUGUAUAUGCUUACCAAAUUAUACCUUAUUGAAAAGUGGAGAUUCUGGAUGAGAGUUUUGAUGUUCUCAAGAAAACUUGUGAAUUUGAUUUUUUGUAUGUAUAUGCUUACCAAAUUAUACCUUAUUGAAAAGUGGAGAUUCUGGAUGAGAGUUUUGAUGUUCUCAAGAAAACUUGUGAAUUUGGCUCUCCUAAAUAAAUGGUGGUGGAGGCUGAUCUAGGAUGUUACUCGGCUUUGGUCCAAUAUCCUAUAUAAUCAUGAUUGGAUUGAUAGUAAUAGUGAUAAGUUUUUAUUAUAUUUUAUGUACAGUGUGAUUAAAGCAAAUUCUAUUGUGAGGUUUUUAAAAAUAAAUAAAUAAGCAAAUUCUAUUGUGAGGUUUUUAAAAAUAAAUUGUGUUAAAGUUUUCAACUUAUACCGAUAAGAAUAUGGGUCUUUUUUUACCACUUAAAUUUAAGAAAUAUUAAAAUGAUUUAAUAGAUUAUAUAUUAAAAUGGGGAUUAUUUUAUUAGGUCUAAAAGGGAAUGGUCUUUGAUAAAACAAUUUAGACUAAUUGUGUUAAUGGGGAGAGUAUCCAAGGCGAAGUUGGUCGCUCAGAGCAUAAUACGUGUUACCCAAUAGGAUUUGAGUCGGAAACCCAUGAUCUGUCUCACCAAACAUAUAUGGCAUGUGAGUUGUCAACGAAGAAUAACGGUCUGCAAAGAUCAAUCAAAGGGAAAACUACCUCUUCCACAUUUUGAGGGAGAAUUAGUCUUCGUUUAUUCCCAUAUUGCUAAUGAGAGAAAGUGAAAUAGUUUUCUUCUAGAGUCUGACCCAUGGAUCCACUAUAAGUAUCCUUACCUCAUAAUCGAAAAAGGUGAUUCAUUAAUUUUCCAAAAACUAGUAUGCAUGGUCUCUUGCAACCUAUGUAGGCGGAUUCUUUCCAUCACUAUUGUACUUUUAGCAAGUACAAUUGACGCCUACUAUGGGGUUACAUCAAAACUGACAUAGGUCACACUCACCUUCAGUUUAGAAGCCUCUUCAACCAUUUCCUUAUCAUGACGAUAAAAUGGGGUGUCUUGAAUUCUACCAAAUUGGUCAAUCCACUCAUACCAUAUCAGAGGGGUUUGUUGGAGGCAGAGAAUCCAACUCAUAUCGUAGGAGAUACAACUCAUAUUGUAGGAGAUACGCUCACCAAGUUAUGUUGUAAGAGGGCUCACCUACUAGCCUUCUGCCAAAUUCAAGAAAAGAGUCAAAACCUGGGAUCGUUUUCUCUAGAAAAGACGUCGUUGGCGUCCGUACUCAUGAAUAUGACUCGAUGGUCAUAAUAGUGAGGUUUGAAUAUUGGGAUAUAAAUAGGUAUGGAUUGACCCACGGUGCUUAACAAUUUUCCUAUUCUGAGACUCAUUUGAAAAGCUAUGGUUGGAUCUAUAUGACAUUCUGGAUUUCCAAGGUUUGUUGAUCAGGCUCUUAGGCAAGCACUACAGGUGAAGGGACACAUAACCCAUAACAUGAUAUUCGAAAUGAAUGGAAAUGCGAAGAUGAUCAAGUCCAGGUACCUUGUAGGAGGCGCCUCUUUUUCAUGUAACAUCGUCAUAGGGAGGUGUGCCCUCUCAACCUUUUAGGAGCUACCAUGUCAACCUUAUACCUAAGAAUGAAAUAUCUAUUGUCUGACGGGCAUGUUGGAACAAUCUAGGGUGAUCAAGACAUAACCUAAGAAUGUUAACACGAUAGCCUCCAAUUAAGGAGGGUGGAGAUGGUUGCAUAUGCCAUCCUUCAACCAAACAUGCAAGGGUUGGAUUUUGUAAGUCUAUAUCCCAUGGUAGACACCGAGAAAUAAGGACUAAUACCCACAAGGAUCUAUAGGAGGUUCAGAUUAGACCCUAAGAUUUUCAAACCACCAAUCUAAGCACCUCAUUGGCCAAAGCUAUAGAAGAAGAGUUUAUCUCCACGCUUGGGAAAAUGUUGAUUUGUUUGCUUGGAACCCUUCAGACAUGUCAUGUAUAUACGCUAGGGUGGUAUGUCACCUCUUUACCAUAAAAUCCAUUAUGAAGCAUAUGUCACAGAGAAACCGUAAAGUUGGUGAAGAGAAGCGGUUCUCAUGUUGUUGAUAAAUCGUUGUAAAGAUGAAUGGUAACAUAAAUUUAUCAAACUCUCUUCUAACUCUUGACAACAAGAAUUGGCUUCGAUGGAGAAAAAAUGAAAUCUCUAUUUGGCUUUCAUGAAACCCUAGAAGUGGUUGUUCUUGCGGUUGGUGAAAAUACAACUGAUGCAUAGAGAACUGCUCACAAGGAUACCAAGAAUAAGGAUUUCAAGGCGGCGUUUUACAUCCAAUUUGUGGUUGAUGCGGCUAACUUUGACAAAAUUUCUCAUGUUGAAUCGACGAAGGAGGCAUGGGAUAUUCUUGUCAAGUACUAUGAAGGAGGUGAGAAAUUCAAGGUUGUCAAGUUGCAAAUUUUACGAACAAUAUAAAUUGUUGUCAAUGGGAGAAGACGAAAAUAUUGCAGGAUAUUUGUCGAAGGUGCAGAAACUCGUUCAUCUUAUGAAGGGUUAUGGUGAAACCCUAACAUGUAAGUUAAUAGUUGAAAAGGUAAUGCGUAUGUUUAUCUCUCACUUUGAUCAUAUUAUCGUAGCUAUUCAAGAAUCCAAGAAUCUUGAAACCCUAAAAUUGGAAGAUUUGGUUGGUUCGUUGGAGGCACAUGAGAUUAGCAUUUUCGAAAGGAAAGGAGUUCAGGACUCGAUACAAGCACUACAGGAUCAGUCAUUGAAGAAUAAUGGUGGUUCCAACAAGUUCAAAGGCAAAAUCAACAAGACUCAGGGAAAGAAGUCUUGGUCAAAUCCUUACAAGAAUAAGGUUGAUGGUAGAGCUUCUGAAUCCUCGAAAAAAGAAGAAGGAAAUUCCUAUCAUAAAGAUAAAGAAGAGAAAAAAGGUGUGUAGUGCUAUAACUAUGAAAAAUGGGGUCACUUGGCCAAGAAUUGUUGGUACAGGAAAGACAAGGGAUCGACAAAAGGCAAGGACGAAGAAGCGAACCUUGCACAUCAAGAUUCUGAUGAUAUGGUGGUUAUGGUUGCAGUUGCAGAUGAUCAUGUCAAAUCCAAGAUCCGGUUCCUCGACUCAGGUUGCUUGAAUCACAUGACUGGUCAAAAAGUAUGGUUAGUAGAUUUCGACGAGUCGAAGAAGAUCAAGGUCAAACUUGCUGAUAAUAGUUUGUUGCAAGCUGAAGGUACUAGCAACAUAGUUAUUUAAAGGAGUAAUGGAGAGAAAUCAUUGAUCAAAUAUGUACUAUAUGUCCCUAGAAUGAAGUGUAAUCUACUAAGUGUUGGACAACUGGUCCAAAAGGGGUUCUCAAUGGUUAUGAAAGAUGGAUCCUUAGAACUUUUCGAAAUCUAGAAUAACUUAGUAUUGAAAUAUCCUUUGUCGAAGAAUAGAAUAUUUAAGACUAUAAUCAGUUCGACUGAGGUACAAUGUCUGAAAAUAGUUGUCGACCACAAAAAUAAUUGGUUGUGGAAUCUGAGGUUUGGCCAUCUGAAUUUUAGGUCGCUCAAUCAACUGAUCACUCAAGAUAUGGUAACUGGUAUACCAAGUAUUGAGAUGCCCGACAAACUCCAUGAAGGUUGUCUAGUCGGAAAGCAGUCCAGGAAAUCUUUUGUUUUGACUAUGCCAAUGAGAUCCUCCUGCAUACUCGAAGUUGUACAUUCAGACGUAUGUGGUCCUGUUAAGGAGCAUACCAUUGGUGGAAACAGGUGUUUUGUUUUGUUUGUUGAUGAGUUUAGUCGAAAGUUGUGGAUCUAUGUGAUUAAAAGAAAGGACAAAGUAUUCAAAAUAUUUAAGAGAUGCAAGAUGCUUGUCGAAAACCAUAGUGAAAAGAAGAUCAAGGUUCUGUGAAUAGAUGGAGGUGGCGAAUACACAUCCAAGAUAUUUGAAGCAUUAUGUGCAAAACAUGGUGUUGAUCAUGAGGUAAUGCUCCUUAUACUCCUCAACAUAAUGGAAUAGCAGAAAAAAGAAACGGGACCAUAUUGGACAUGGCGAGAUGCAUAUUGAAGCAGAAGAAUUUGCCAAAAUCCUUAUGGGGUGAAGCUGUUUCGACUGCUGUUUAUAUAUUGAACAUGUGCCCUACUAAGAAUCUAAAGAACAAGGUUCCUGAAGAAGUGUGGAGUGGCAAAUAACCAUCGGUGAGUCAUCUGAAGGUGUUUGGCUCUAUGUGUUAUAAGCAUGUUCCUGAUGCAAGAAGAAGGAAGCUUGAUGACAAUAGUGAACCUAUGAUGCUGGUAGGAUAUCAUAAGACUUAAGCAUACAGGCUCUUCAAUCCAAUUAACCAGAAGAUUAUGAUUAGUUGAGAUAUUGUGAUUGAUGAAAAUUUUGCAUGGGAUUGGAAUUCUAGUAAUGCAAUUGACAAGCCAUUGAUGAGCUAUGAUUUCAACGAAGCAAGUAAUGAUCUCGAAGUCGAAGAUAUUAUCGAUAUUCUAGUUGAAGUCGAAGUUGUUGUUGAAAUACCUUACACAUUUGAAGUCGAAGAGGUUAUGGCUAGAACAAGUCAGAGACCUCAAAGAACUAGAGCUUGUUCAGCAAGACUUCAAGACUGUGAAGUGGUUGGUGAUGAUGAAGUCACAACAGAUGAAGAUCUAGUUCAUUUUUCUUUACUUACAGGUGCUAAACCAAUCAACUAUAGAGAGGCUUUAACGAAUAUGAAGUGAAAGUCUGUUGUGGUCGAAGAGUUAUAAGAAAUCGAAAGAAACAACAUAUGGGAGUUGGUAGAAUUGCUAGCCCAUACAAAAGCUAUCAAAGUGAAGUGGGUGUUCAAGUUGAAGCACAAUGUUGAUGGGUCGAUAGUAAGACAUACGGCGAGAUUGGUAGCUCGAGGAUUUCUUCAACGAGUAGGACUCGACUACUCUAAAGUCUUUGCACAUGUCGCAAGAUUAGAAAUUGUUCGACUAGUGGUAGCCUUGGCAUGUAAGCAAGGUUGGUCGACAUUUCACUUAGAUGUGAAGUCAACAUUUUUAAUGGACCUUUAGAUGAAGAGGCGUAUGUCACAUAACCUAAUGGGUUUGUGAUUCAGGAGGAAGCAAAGAAAGUAUACAAGUUGCACAAAGCGUUAUAUGGUCUCAAGUAGGCACCUAGGGCAUGGAAUAAGAAGAUUGAUUCAUACUUGGUCUAAUUGGAAUUCGUCAAAUGCAAAUCUGAGCAUGGUGUCUAUGUUCAGGUUAUGGUAUAGGAUAUAACAAUCAUCUGCUUAUAUGUCGAUGACUUGCUAGUAACUAGAAAUAACUUGAAGAAUAUGUCAAAGUUCAAAUAUCUGAUGAAGAAGGAAUUUGAAAUGUCGGAUCUGGGAAAGUUGUCAUACUUCCUAAGCAUGGAAUUUCAAAUGUCGACGCAAGGUAUGGUGCUACAUCAAAGAAAGUAUGUCAAGGAGAUACUCAAGAUAUUCAAGAUGGAUGAUUCGACUCCUGCAUAUUUGCAUAUCGAACCAAAUUUGAAGUUGGAGAAGUAUGGAGAGAAAGACAAAGUUGAUGCAACUUUGUUCGAACAGAUUAUCAGAUCUCGGAGAUAUGUGUGUAACCAUUGACCUGAUAUAUGUUUCUUAGUCGGAUUAGUUAUCAGAUAUAUGAGUGAACCAAGGGUGUCACACAUGAAUGUUGCAAGAAUAAUCUUGAGAUACUUAAAAGAAUCGAUAAACUAUGGAAUUUUAUUUCGACGAGACUCUAAAAACAAAGAAGUUAUGGUUACUUGUUAUUUAGACGUUGAUUAGUGUGGAGAUAAGGAAGAUCGAAUAAGCACUACUGGAUAUUUCUUUCAAGUAUUUGGUGCCCCAAUCUCAUGGUGCUCGAGAAAGAAAUCUAUGAUGGAAUUAUCAUCGUGUGAGGCUGAAUAUAUAGCAGGAUCUUAUGUUGCAUGUCAAGCAAUUUGGAUCAGAUCUGUGCUAGAAGAGAUCGAGGUCGAAGUGAAGAAACCUCUGGUACUGCAUAUCAAUAACAAGUCAGCCAUAAAUCUUGCGAAGAAUCAAGUUUUGCAUGGAAGAAGUAAGCACAUAGAAGCUAGAUUUCACUUCUUAAGGGAGAAGGUAAAUCAAUGUGAACUUGAAGUAAGACAUUGCUCAACUGAAGUACAAUUGACCGAUAUUUUCACCAAAGGAUUGAAGAUCGACAGAUUCCUAACGUUGAGAAAGAAAUUAUGAAUAGUUCAGGUCGACAAUGAUUAGUGUGUUUCAACAACUUAGAUUAUAUGGGGGUGUGUUAAGAUAUUAGAUAUAAUCCAAAUUGAGUUGUGUGGCACAAGCUCAAAGCUAAUUAGGAUUUAUGGUUUGUUACUUAGUUUAUUAUUUUACUUAAUAAUCAAAUCAUUUAAGUGUAUCUAAAUAGACACUUUAUAAUUCAAUUUUUUCAACAUUCAAUUCAAUAAUACAAUCAUUAUUUUCUUAUUCUCUCUUUCUCCCCUCAAAGUGCCUCACGCUCUAAUAGUUUUAUUAUCCGGUGAUCGGAAUUAUUUAAAAAUCUCGUAACAAAUAUUUUUUUCUCAACCAUUGAAUUGAUCAUGGUUUGAGCAAGAUUUUUGGGUCUCAAGGGAUUUGGAAUAGAUAAGUGGUGCACUGGAUUGCUCGUUGGCCUUUUUGAAAUCAACAACAAUAUAUUUCUUCCUUCCCUUAGCUUGUGUGUUUUGAGGGUUGCUUUUCGUGCUUUGCUCUUUUUGGUUAGUUGAGUGGGUUUGGUGGUGGUCUUCCAUUUGCUGAGGUACCUAACUCUUGUGUAGAUUUGAGGUGGUUUGUGUGUUUUGUCCUUUUUGUUGCUUGUUGCUUUUUGGGCUGUCUUGAUACAUCUUAUAUUUGUGACUCUCUUUAGUUUGUACUUUGGGAAUAUUGCUUGAAUUUCAUAUUUUCAUAUUUAAAUGGAGGAUUCCAUGAGGUAAUAUAAAGAGUACAAAACAAAUUCAUUCAAAAGACUAAUUGGUAGUCAAAUUAGCAAAGCAUUGGAUGUAUGCAUUCAAUAGCACAAGUGCAUCAAUCAACCCAAAAAAAAAAAAUACAUCUUACACCACCUACUCUUUGUCUUAAACCGGGACCAAGGCAUAAUUAUAAACCAGGACCAAGAUAUAACUAUAAAGUGGUCCAAGAAACAUAUCAAAUUAAAAAUAGGAGUUUUGAAAUUUAUCAUCUUAUAUUGCUUUUAGGAAUGAAUUGAGAAAAUCUCAUAAAAAUCAUAUAAUAUCAUUUUAGAAUAGGAAUUAGAGCUAGAUGACUGAACUCCUAAUGAGACGCCGCAAGUCUCUAAUGUGGUGGAUAACAGCGUAAAAAUAUAAGAUUAAUACUUCAAUGAAUAAAUCAAUAAUAAAAAUCAAAUAUAAAUAGUCUGAAAUGUGAAAAAUAUGAAGUAUCCGAAACCUAACACGUGUAGGAGUAUUUAUCCCUAAAUUAAUUAUUUUACUAAAUUUACUUUUUUUAAUGGCAAUUAGAUUAAUGUAUGUAUACAAAAGCUUUAAAAGACUAAAAAGAUAACACAUUUGCCCUUUCAAGAGAUCAAAUUCAAUAUUACUCCUACUUCUGUAAAAGAAUGUAUCCCUCAAGAAAAGAUGAAUUAGGGAUCAGAUAAUCAAUGUGGCAUAGGAUUUAGUCAACACAACAAAAUGUUUGUAGUGCACACAACACAAGUAGUCAACAACUUGAGCUUUGAAGGGCCCCACACCAUCCAACAUGCUCUUAUUAUGACAAUGACGUUUUGGCCAUAAUCCACUCACUCUCCCAACAAUACAACCGCCCAGGAUCAUGACUUAUUGACUCUUACUUGAUUCACUUCACAAUACACACUUCAAAAUAAAACUAAAUUAGGUCUUUUUGUAAUAUUUCAAAUACCAUAAGGGUAUUUUCAAUAACCAAGUAGUUUAUAUAUUGCACAAAACAUUGUUCCUAAUUCACUUAACUUACAAAUAAACUAUUAACUAUAUCAUCUUUUCUAUCAAGCAAACCCACUAAAGAGAAAAACAUGGGAAAUUGUUUGGUACUACAACAAAUUAAUAUGAUGAAGAUCAUGAAAACUGAUAGGAAAGUUCUCGAAUACACAACACCAAUCAAAGUUGAAGAGGUUUUGCCACCUCCACCACCGGCAUCACCGAAAGGGGUCAAGAAGGUGAGGUUUGCAAAUCCAGAAGUUCAAGAUGUACAUAAAAGUAGUGUUGUUAGGAUUAAGCUUGUUAUUAGUAAGCAAAAACUGCAAGAGUACAAUCUAUUACCUCCCUAAACAGUUGACAAGAUGUUAUCUCUUGCUCAUGGUGAAGAUUUGUGUAAAGAAAAUGAUGAUGAUUCUCUAGGAGAGUGGAAACCAGUAUUGAAAAGCAUACCUGAACUAAUCUAACAGUAGGCUUCAAGUUACAAUACUUGUGUUUCUUUCUUAUAAUGCUUAGGUAUUAGAGUUUUGCUUUUUCAAACAUGUAUUAUGUUCAGUAGUAUAAUAACUAAAGGAAUAUAAAUAGAGGA